CACCACCUUCCUCCGGUAAACUUGUACCAUCAACACCUUCCCCAACAGCUCCAACAAUCACCGCACUUUCUCUCCUCUUAACCACAAAGGUUGUUGAAAUUUGAUCUUUUCUCAAACACUUGGUGGGCAGACCAACAAUAGGAUAAAAAUGUGUUCUUGAAACUGAUACAAGACACCCAACAACAUAAAUAGACACAACAAAUGUUUAAGGCAAAUGGGUCAAAGAAAAUGUUUAAUUCAUGACAAAAUUAUUAACAAUCUCAGUUACCUAUUAUUGGUUAAAGUGAAACUACUAUAAUCAUGUUAAUGUAAUUCAAAUCACUCUAUAUAGAAUUGAAAUGAUACCAACUUACAUGGGGUGGUGGCAAUGGUGAGAAUAGAGGAAGAUGAAGAAGAUGGGAGUGGAGAAUGGAGUGAGAAGGAAUUGAAGCAAAGAAGAGACAUGUUGUAACUCUUAGAGUGUUCUUGUUUGUAAUGUUAUCAUGUUAGAAUAAGAUUGGAUUUGGUUUUCUCUUUUCAGAUAAGCCACAUGGCCCCUCCACACACUUAUUGUCUCACCCUUUCACUAUUUCUCUUCCUUGGUAAUUAAGGAGUGUUUGGAUUAAUUUCUAGUAUGAAAAAAAAUGGAUAACUAGAAUUUUAAUAAAGUGAUUUAAUUAUUUGGAGAUUAAUUUUUAUAUGCUAUUAAAGUUUUUAUUUUUAAAUCAUUAGUCAAACACAUCUUUAUAUAUAGAUCAUCAUUUGUGUUCGAAAUAUUUCAAUAUUUUAGAAGUUACAUAAAUCUUAAUUAUAUCAUUUGUUGAUGAUGUAAAUUAAUCUUUAAUUUUUAUAUUAAUGGAGAAUCAAAUUAAAAUAAAAACUUUACCCUAUGUUUGAGGGUUUAUGAUAUACUUUUUGGAGUGAGGAUCAUCUUCAAUAUUGAAGAGAAAAUUAUUUUAAAAGCAAAAUAAAUAAAUAAUAUGAUAUAACACUUUUAUCCUCAAAAUAUAAUGAGUUGACACUUUUAUCCUUAAGAAUAAAAGCAAAAUGAAUAACUUCCAUCUUUAGUGCGGGAGAGGAUUCUGAUUCACUUUUUUAUUUUAUUUUGUUUUUUAUAUUAAUCUCCAACAUGAACAAUACUUCAUUUAAAGGAUGGAAGGUAACCACAUUGAGGUUCAACCAUAAACUUCGUACCUUUUAAUGAAUACACAAUGAUAAACAAUUGUCUUCUUGAAACUGUAUUUGGUCAUGAAGGAUUCAAACUUCUUUACCAUUAUCUUGGGGCUUGCUUCAGACCAUAUAACUCUUAUUCAAACGACACGUUAAGUGUUCCUUGCUUGAUUCUUCAUAACCUUCUGGUUGCUCCAUAUAGAUUUCUUCUUUGAUGUCUCCAUGUAAGAAAGUUAUUUUGACAUCAAGUUGUUCAACUUCUAAGUCUAGGCUAGCAACUAGACCCAAUGCUACUCUUAUGGAGGAAUACUUCACCAUUAUUGGUGAGAAUAUCUCAUCAAAAUCAUCUCUUUUCUUCUGAUUACAUCCUUUCACAAUAAUUCGAGCUUUGUACUGUAUUCUUGAGCUUCCUUCUUCAACUUUAAGCCUAUAAACCCAUUUGUUUUUCAAGGCUUUUCUUCCUUUUGGCAACUCCACCAGAUCAUAAGUGUGGUUCUCAUGUAACGAGUUCAUCCCAUCUUCUAUGGCUUUAAUCAUUCUUCUUUAUCAGUUGUCUGCAUAGCUUCUAAGAAGUCUCGAGGUUCACCAUUAUCCGUCAAUGUGAUAUGUUCUUCUCCAGGAUACUUUAAAGAAGGUACUCUGUGAUCGAGGUCGUACCCGAUACAAAUAAUAUAACAAUUAAAAUUGUAGUACUAGGAAGUAACUCCUAGGUCGUUUUCCAAUGAUUAUCUUUCAAGCAAAGCUUCAAACACCUUAUACUCACACACACACAAGGGGUUUUUGUUGUUGUUGGAUAGUAUGAACAUAAACCAAAUUCAGAAACAGUAGUUAAGCAAUGUAAUAAAACGACUAAAUCCCUUUGGUUCGUUUGUUCACAACUCAAUCCUCGGUUUCAAAAGAUUAUUUUUAGAUUCCAACCAUUAACUUCCGAACUUGUUGAGAAUCAAUUAACUAACAAGCCUUUUCCUUCUCAGCCUUAUCUUCUUGGCCAACUUCAUCCUCAGCCUCUGCUCUUCCCUCUCCUUGAGCUUCGAUUCCAACGGAAGCUUAUCAACCGAAACAACCUCAUUCGCAGCAGCAGGAACAGCUGACACCGACCCACCACCUUCCUCCGGUAAACUUGUACCAUCAACACCUUCCCCAACAGCUCCAACAAUCACCGCACUUUCUCUCCUCUUAACCACAAAGGUUGUUGAAAUUUGAUCUUUUCUCAAACACUUGGUGGGCAGACCAACAAUAGGAUAAAAAUGUGUUCUUGAAACUGAUACAAGACACCCAACAACAUAAAUAGACACAACAAAUGUUUAAGGCAAAUGGGUCAAAGAAAAUGUUUAAUUCAUGACAAAAUUAUUAACAAUCUCAGUUACCUAUUAUUGGUUAAAGUGAAACUACUAUAAUCAUGUUAAUGUAAUUCAAAUCACUCUAUAUAGAAUUGAAAU
rnacentral:lncRNA from 1 species